GACGAACGCUGGCGGCGUGCUUAACACAUGCAAGUCGAACGGAAAGGCCCUGCUUUUGUGGGGUGCUCGAGUGGCGAACGGGUGAGUAACACGUGAGUAACCUGCCCUUGACUUUGGGAUAACUUCAGGAAACUGGGGCUAAUACCGGAUAGGAGCUCCUGCUGCAUGGUGGGGGUUGGAAAGUUUCGGCGGUUGGGGAUGGACUCGCGGCUUAUCAGCUUGUUGGUGGGGUAGUGGCUUACCAAGGCUUUGACGGGUAGCCGGCCUGAGAGGGUGACCGGCCACAUUGGGACUGAGAUACGGCCCAGACUCCUACGGGAGGCAGCAGGGGGGAAUAUUGCACAAUGGGCGGAAGCCUGAGGCAGCAACGCCGCGUGCGGGAUGACGGCCUUCGGGGUGUAAACCGCUUUCGCCUGUGACGAAGCGUGAGUGACGGUAAUGGGUAAAGAAGCACCGGCUAACUACGUG
rnacentral:rRNA from 1 species